rnacentral:rRNA from 1 species
CCUACGUGUGGCAGCAGUGGGGAAUAUUGCGCAAUGGGCGAAAGCCUGACGCAGCGACGCCGCGUGAGGGAUGAAGGUCUUCGGAUCGUAAACCUCUGUCAGCAGGGAAGAACGGUCACUGUGCUAAUCAGCAGUGAAUUGACGGUACCUGCAAAGGAAGCACCGGCUAACUCCGUGCCAGCAGCAGCGGUAAUACGGAGGGUGCGGGAGUUAAUCGGAAUUACUGGGCGUAAAGCGCUCGUAGGGGGUAUGUCAAGGCAAGGGUGAAAUCCCCGCGCUCAACGUGGGAACUGCCUUUGAAACUGGCAAACUGGAGUGUGAGAGAAGUGAGUGGAAUUCCAGGUGUAGGGGGGAAAUCCAUAGAUAUCUGGAGGAACAUCAGUGGCGAAGGCGACUAUCUGGCACAUAACUGACGCUGAGGAGCGAAAGCGUGGGUAGCAAACAGGAUUAGAUACCCCAGUAGUC